GACGAACGCUGGCGGCGUGCCUAAUACAUGCAAGUUGAGCGCUGAAGGUUGGUACUUGUACCAACUGGAUGAGCAGCGAACGGGUGAGUAACGCGUGGGGAAUCUGCCUUUGAGCGGGGGACAACAUUUGGAAACGAAUGCUAAUACCGCAUAAAAACUUUAAACACAAGUUUUAAGUUUGAAAGAUGCAAUUGCAUCACUCAAAGAUGAUCCCGCGUUGUAUUAGCUAGUUGGUGAGGUAAAGGCUCACCAAGGCGAUGAUACAUAGCCGACCUGAGAGGGUGAGCGGCCACAUUGGGACUGAGACACGGCCCAAACUCCUACGGGAGGCAGCAGUAGGGAAUCUUCGGCAAUGGACGAAAGUCUGACCGAGCAACGCCGCGUGAGUGAAGAAGGUUGUCGGAUCGUAAAACUCUGUUGGUAGAGAAGAACGUUGGUGAGAGUGGAAAGCUCAUCAAGUGACGGUAACUACACAGAAAGGGACGGCUAACUACGUG
rnacentral:rRNA from 1 species